rnacentral:rRNA from 1 species
ACGCACGCUGGCGGCGUGCUUAACACAUGCAAGUCGAACGGAAAGGCCCUGCUUUUGUGGGGUGCUCGAGUGGCGAACGGGUGAGUAACACGUGAGUAACCUGCCCUUGACUUUGGGAUAACUUCAGGAGACUGGGGCUAAUACCGGAUAGGAGCUCCUGCUGCAUGGUGGGGGUUGGAAAGUUUCGGCGGUUGGGGAUGGACUCGCGGCUUAUCAGCUUGUUGGUGGGGUAGUGGCUUACCAAGGCUUUGACGGGUAGCCGGCCUGAGAGGGUGACCGGCCACAUUGGGACUGAGAUACGGCCCAGACUCCUACGGGAGGCAGCAGUGGGGAAUAUUGCACAAUGGGCGGAAGCCUGAUGCAGCAACGCCGCGUGCGGGAUGACGGCCUUCGGGUUGUAAACCGCUUUCGCCUGUGACGAAGCGUGAGUGACGGUAAUGGGUAAAGAAGCACCGGCUAACUACGUG